rnacentral:rRNA from 1 species
UACGAAGGGGGCUAGCGUUGUUCGGAAUUACUGGGCGUAAAGCGCGCGCAGGUGGUCUUUCAAGUCAGUGGUGAAAGCCCGGAGCUCAACUCCGGAAAUGCCAUUGAAACUGUAAGACUUGAGGAUGAGAGAGGUGAGUGGAAUUCCCAGUGUAGAGGUGAAAUUCGUAGAUAUUAGGAAGAACACCGGUGGCGAAGGCGGCCCACUGGUCCGGUACUGACGCUGAGGUGCGAAAGCGUGGGGAGCAAA